AGUGAACGCUGGCGGUAGGCCUAACACAUGCAAGUCGAACGGCAGCACAGUAAGAGCUUGCUCUUACGGGUGGCGAGUGGCGGACGGGAGAGGAAUACAUCGUAAUCUACUUUUUCGUGGGGGAUAACGUAGGGAAACUUAAGCUAAUACCGCAUACGACCUACGGGGGAAAGCAGGGGAACUUCGGACCUGGCGCGAAUGAAUGAGCCGAUGUCGGAUUGGCUAGUUGGCGGGGUAAAGGCCCACCAGGGCGACGAUCGGGAGCCGGUCUGGGAGGAUGAUCGGCCCCACUGGAGCUGGGACACCGUCCAGACUCCUGCGGGAGGCACCAGUGGGGAACAUUGGGCAAUGGGCGGAAACCUGGUCCAGCCGGACCGCGUGGGUUGAGGAGGCCUUCGGGUUGUAAAGCCCUUUUGUUGGGAGAGAAAAGCAGCAGGUUAAUACCAAGCUGUUCUGACGGUACCCAAAGAAUAAGCACCGGCUAACUUCGUG
rnacentral:rRNA from 1 species